rnacentral:rRNA from 1 species
GGGUUGUGAGGUUAAGCGACUAAGCGUACACGGUGGAUGCCCUGGCAGUCAGAGGCGAUGAAGGGCGUGCUAAUCUGCGAUAAGCGCCGGUAAGGUGAUAUGAACCGUUAUAACCGGCGAUACCCGAAUGGGGAAACCCAGUGUGAUUCGUCACACUAUCAUUAACUGAAUCCAUAGGUUAAUGAGGCGAACCGGGGGAACUGAAACAUCUAAGUACCCCGAGGAAAAGAAAUCAACCGAGAUUCCCCCAGUAGCGGCGAGCGAACGGGGAGGAGCCCAGAGCCUGAAUCAGCAUGUGUGUUAGUGGAAGCGUCUGGAAAGGCGCGCGAUACAGGGUGACAGCCCCGUACACAAAAGCGCAUGUGCUGUGAGCUCGAUGAGUAGGGCGGGACACGUGGUAUCCUGUCUGAAUAUGGGGGGACCAUCCUCCAAGGCUAAAUACUCCUGACUGACCGAUAGUGAACCAGUACCGUGAGGGAAAGGCGAAAAGAACCCCGGCGAGGGGAGUGAAAAAGAACCUGAAACCGUGUACGUACAAGCAGUGGGAGCACCCUUUUGGGUGUGACUGCGUACCUUUUGUAUAAUGGGUCAGCGACUUAUAUUCUGUAGCA